AUGAGCACUUCAGGAAAUCCGAACGAGUUGCCAAUAGUUCUUGCAGAUGACCGAACUAAUGCCGAUUAGGAGGAUGUUGGUCAUACUCCUACAGAUGACAAUGUUGACAUCAACAUGGAUGAUACCAAUGUGAGUGAUCAUGAGCCCAUAUUUAAUUCGUCUACGGCAUAAUUUGUUAGUGUUGAUGAGGAACCGAUUGUUACUCUGGAUAUUUAUGAUCCAAGAAAUUGGGGUAAUCUUGAUAACAAAGCAAGGGAUAUAUUAGUGGAAAAGGGGCCUAAAAGGAAAGAAGAAAACACUAAAUAUCAUUUGGAUGAAAAUUCAAGGCAUUUUUCGAAUAGCCAUUACUCAAGAAAAAUGAGUAAUUGAGAGGUGCGUGAUAGAAAAUGGUUAGUUUUUCCAAAGCAUGCCAAACAUUUUUCGUAUAGUUAG
rnacentral:rRNA from 1 species